AUUCCAGCUCCAAUAGCGUAUAUUAAAGUUGUUGCAGUUAAAAAGCUCGUAGUUGGAUUUCUGGCUGGAGCGAUCGGUCCGCCCCGCAAGGGGUGUGUACUAGCGUCGUCUCCGACCAUCCUUGUGGGAACUGUGCGGCCGUUAACUCGGUUGUAUAUGGGAACACAUCGUUUACUGUGAAAAAAUUAGAGUGUUUAAAGCAGGCUUAAGCCGUUGAAUACAUUAGCAUGGAAUAAUAAGAUAGGACUUGGGUCAUUAUUUUGUUGGUUUGCGGAUCGAGGUAAUGAUUAAUAGGGAUAGUUGGGGGUAUUCAUAUUUAAUUGUCGGAGGUGAAAUUCUUGGAUUUAUGAAAGAUGAACUUAGGCGAAAGCAUUUACCAAGGAUGUUUUCAUUA
rnacentral:rRNA from 1 species